GAUAACGGAGGUGAUUAUAUAGCUAACACAUGCCUUCCAAGCCCGGAGUUCUGGAAUGUGUGUAUUCCUUUGAUAAAAACCAUCCUCCUUGGAGUUUGGUGAUUCAUAAUCACUUCUGGACUCGCACCGUACCUUGUGCCGGCGAUGCUUCAUUCAAAUAUCAUGCCCUAUCACCAGUCGAAGGUAGGAUAGAGUCCUACCAUGGUUGCAAAUGGUCACAGUGGAAUAGGGGUUGGAUUCUGUAGAGGGAAGCCUGACCAUCCGCUACCACAUGCAUUUAAGGCAGCAGGUGCGCAAAUUACCCAAUCCCGUCACGGGGAGGUAGGGACAAUAAAAUACAAUGCAGGGCCCUUUAGGGUCCAGUAAUAGGAAUGAGUGCAAAUUAAAUCCCUUAUCGACGAA
rnacentral:rRNA from 1 species